rnacentral:rRNA from 1 species
UACAGAGGGUGCGAGCGUUGUUCGGAUUUACUGGGCGUAAAGGGCGCGUAGGCGGCCACCGCAAGUCGACUGUGAAAUCUCCGGGCUUAACCCGGAAAGGUCAGCCGAUACUGCGGGGCUAGAGUGCAGAAGGGGCAACUGGAAUUCUCGGUGUAGCGGUGAAAUGCGUAGAUAUCGAGAGGAACACCUGCGGCGAAGGCGGGUUGCUGGGCUGACACUGACGCUGAUGCGCGAAAGCUAGGGGAGCGAACGGG